rnacentral:rRNA from 1 species
AUUGGACGCUGGCGGCAUGCCUUACACAUGCAAGUCGAACGGCAGCACGGGAGCAAUCCUGGUGGCGAGUGGCGAACGGGUGAGUAAUGCAUCGGAACGUGCCCAAUCGUGGGGGAUAACGUAGCGAAAGUUACGCUAAUACCGCAUAAGCCCUGAGGGGGAAAGUGGGGGACCGCAAGGCCUCACGCGAAUGGAGCGGCCGAUGUCAGAUUAGCUAGUUGGUGGGGUAAAGGCCCACCAAGGCGACGAUCUGUAGCGGGUCUGAGAGGAUGAUCCGCCACACUGGGACUGAGACACGGCCCAGACUCCUACGGGAGGCAGCAGUGGGGAAUUUUGGACAAUGGGCGCAAGCCUGAUCCAGCCAUGCCGCGUGCGGGACGAAGGCCUUCGGGUUGU